ensembl:snoRNA
AGCCCUUUGUAGUUCGUAAGCAUGAUGAUUGGGUGUUCAUGUGUAAGAUGUGCCUCCCUCAAACCUUGGAAAGAUGUUGACACAUUACCCGUCUGACA